rnacentral:tRNA from 1 species
GCAGUGGUGGUUCAGUGGCAGAACUUCCAUGUGGGAGACCUGGGUUCAAUUCCCAGCCAAAGCA